UGUCAAGGGAUGGGAAUCGAACCCACGACCUUCCGCUUACCGGGCAGAUGCCACAACCACUAGGCUACCCUGGAC
rnacentral:tRNA from 1 species